CGGUCCAGGGGCGGGGAUUGGCCAGGCCCCGCCCACAACGCCUGGUCCCGCGCGUCGCGCGCCCGGUUGCGUAAAGGCGCGCGCGCUUGUGCCGGCUCCCUUGUGCUUGGGGGAGGCUCUAGCAGUCAGGCCCAGACUCCAUCCUCUCCCAGUUUGGCAGCUGCUGAUAGAAUGCGUCUAAAGAAAGCACUAGCAACAAUUGUUAAUUUACUGACAAGCUUCACAACAGUGACAUUUUCUCUCCUGGCCUGAACCUUCUUAAAAUAGCAAAUGAAGAGAUUGUACAUGAUGCUUGUGCUGUAGCUGAAGAGGCUGACUGAAGGGACAGACAAGUGAAGUGACACACAAAAUCUGGGGCACAGC